GAUGAACGCUGGCGGCGUGCCUAAUACAUGCAAGUCGAGCGAACGGACGAGAAGCUUGCUUCUCUGAUGUUAGCGGCGCACGUGUGAGUCACACGUGGAUACCCUCCCUAUAAGACUGGGAUAACUUCGGGAAACCGGCGCUUAUCCCGGAUAAUAUUUUGAUCCGCAUGGUUCAUAAGUGAAAGACGGUCUUGCUGUCACUUCUAGCUGGAUCCCCGCUGCAUUGGCUAGUUGGUAAGGUCACGGCCUACCAAGGCAACGAUGCAUAGCCGACCUGAGGGGGGGAUCGGCCACACUGGAACUGAGACGCGGUCAAGACUACUACGGGAGGCAGCAGUAAGGAAUCUGACGCAAUGGUCGAGAGCCUGACGGAGCGACGCGGAGUGAGUGGUAAAGGUCUUGCGAUCGUAAAACUCUGUUAUUAGGGAAGAACAUAUGUGGAAGGAACUGUGCACAGCUUGACGGUACCUAAUCAGAAAGCCACGGCUAACUACGUG
rnacentral:rRNA from 1 species